rnacentral:rRNA from 1 species
UACGUAGGGGGCAAGCGUUGUCCGGAUUUAUUGGGCGUAAAGAGCGUGUAGGCGGCUAGGUAGGUCCGUUGUGAAAACUCGAGGCUCAACCUCGAGACGCCGAUGGAAACCAUCUAGCUAGAGUCCGGAAGAGGAGAGUGGAAUUCCUGGUGUAGCGGUGAAAUGCGCAGAUAUCAGGAGGAACACCGGUGGCGAAGGCGGGUCUCUGGGCCGAUACUGACGCUGAGGUGCGAAAGCGUGGGGAGCAAACAGG